ACCCAAGCCUCUUCCUUUUUUUUAUUUCCCCCCUGUAUGCUUCUUCUUCUUCUUCUUCCCCACUCCCCCGCUCGUCUCUUCUAUAAAAAAUAGAACUCAAUCCCUGAGGUCCCCUUAAACAUCUAUAUAUACAUAUGCUGUUCUUUAUUACCACUCUUGAAUCUUGAACAAGUCAAAAAUAUACUAAAGGGGUAAAGCGUAUCAAUAUAUUAAAGAGGCGAGUAUUAAUUUUUGAGCUAGACGAACGAUGGACCAUCGAACCUCUUCUCCGCCACCUAACGCCUUCAGCCAUGGAAAUAGACCACCAAACUUCUUCUACCACUUUUCCAUCUGGAAAAAAAUAAUUUUUCCUCGGUUUCGUUUCUUUACAUAUUUUAAUUUUAUUUCUAUAAUAUAAAAAGGGAAGAAUUGAAAGAGGAAAGGAGGAAGAACACGAAGAGAGAAAAGAAAGAUGGGCAGGAGAAAGAACGUGAAGGGAAAGAGAAAUCAGGUAGAUUAGGGAAUUAAUGUUUGAAUUUUAUUUUUUAUUUUAAUUAUUUUUAAUUCACCAUAUGACAUGGCAUCUAAACAUUGUUAUUUUUUAUCGUGGCAGUCAACGUGGAGGAGAUUGUAUUGCACGCACCGGCAGCCUCCUGUCAUAAGCGUUUAUUAUUUACGUUUUGAAUGAGUAUAAGUGUCUAGUUAGCAAAUGUCUAACUUUAGGGACCGGUAUGAUAAAGUGGGUGAAGUAUAGGUGUCAUCUAGGCUAUUUAUCUUUAAGAAUUACAAACAUUGUAAGAGCUUUUUUUAAAUGACAUAUAUGCCCUUGGUCAACCAUUUUUCCUUUUUUAUAGAAUAGAAAUGUAUGUUUGUGUGCGUGACUGUGAGACUUUAUGUCCCCCUCUUAUUCUCUACUGUGUAUAUAAAUUUUUGAGCUUUAAUUGUUAUUAAUAAAAGAUUUCUAAAUUGUAAAAUAAAAUUCAUGUAA
rnacentral:lncRNA from 1 species